rnacentral:snRNA from 8 species
AUACUUACCUGGCAAGGGAGAUACCGUGAUCAAGAAGGCGGUUCACCCAGGGCGAGGCUCAGCCAUUGCACUCCGGCUGUGCUGACCCCUGCGAAUUUCCCAAAUGUGGAAAUCUCGAUUGCAUAAUUAAUGGUAGUGGGUGACUGCGUUCGCGCUCGCCCCUG